AGAGACACCAGGUGAUCCUGAGCAGAGAGACACCAGGUGAUCCUGAGCAGAGAGACACCAGGUGAUCCUGAGCAGAGAGACACCAGGUGAUCCUGAGCAGAGAGACACCAGGUGAUCCUGAGCAGAGAGACACCAGGUGAUCCUGAGCAGAGAGACACCAGGUGAUCCUGAGCAGAGAGACACCAGGUGAUCCUGAGCAGAGAGACACCAGGUGAUCCUGAGCAGAGAGACACCAGGUGAUCCUGAGCAGAGAGACACCAGGUGAUCCUGAGCAGAGAGACACCAGGUGAUCCUGAGCAGAGAGACACCAGGUGACCCUGAGCAGAGAGACACCAGGUGACCCUGAGCAGAGAGACAACGUGUGUUUCCAUCGGGCUGCUCAGGUCCGCGACUGGUUCCAUCAGCAUCCCAGGGUUUUACAAUUCUCAACUCCCCCGAGGAGUUGUUUUCAGCAUGGCUGUGGAAGGUGUUUGAUCGCAUACCCCAAUAAACGUAUGACCCUUCUCCAGGCCAGGGACGAGGCCUGUGGUGACAUUCCAGCAGAGUCCUGUCAGGGGGAGGAUGCGUCAUGUCAGGAGAUAUGUGCCCCGCUGUCUGACCAAGGAGAAUAUCACAUGUUAUGUUCAUGAAAAUCUGUGGCCGGACCAAAACAACAGACAUGACUGGUUUUGUUUUCACAAAAUGGAGUAUUUAUUUCUUAUAUUAUGAUUUAGAUUUGACUUUUUUUUUUUUAUCUAUUCUGUAAAAUUGAUCUAACAUGCAGUACAAGUAGGACUACUUUUCUUCCUUUGCAUAUGAAAAUAUAUGUACUGUAUGUUUACAUUGUUACUGUAGGUUUACAUUGUUACUGUAUGUUUACAUUGUUACUGUAGG